GAUGAACGCUGGCGGCGUGCCUAAUACAUGCAAGUCGAGCGAAUGGAUUAAGAGCUUGCUCUUAUGAAGUUAGCGGCGGACGGGUGAGUAACACGCGGGUAACCUGCCCAUAAGACUGGGAUAACUCCGGGAAACCGGGGCUAAUACCGGAUAACAUUUUGAACCGCAUGGUUCGAAAUUGAAAGGCGGCUUCGGCUGUCACUUAUGGAUGGACCCGCGUCGCAUUAGCUAGUUGGUGAGGUAACGGCUCACCAAGGCAACGAUGCGUAGCCGACCGGGGGGGAUGAUCGGCCACACUGGGACUGAGACACGGCCCAGACUCCUACGGGAGGCAGCAGUAGGGAAUCUUCCGCAAUGGACGAAAGUCUGACGGAGCAACGCCGCGUGAGUGAUGAAGGCUUUCGGGUCGUAAAACUCUGUUGUUAGGGAAGAACAAGUGCUAGUUGAAUAAGCUGGCACCUUGACGGUACCUAACCAGAAAGCCACGGCUAACUACGUGCCAGCAGCCGCGGUAA
rnacentral:rRNA from 1 species